rnacentral:tRNA from 1 species
GUCUGGCUAGCUCAGUCGGUAGAGCAUGAGACUCUUAAUCUCAGGGCAUGGGUUCAAGCUCAUGUCGGGCG